GAGGCACACCGGGGACCAAGCGGAACCCUGGGGCAGGCAGAAGACAUGCUCAAUAGUACAGGGGGAGGGUUCAAGGCUCCUGCCAGGACAGCCGACCAGUCAAUAAAACGCCGUUCAGAGAGUGGAGGAAAGCCAGGCGUGGGUUGACCAGGGGCAAGCACACAGAUCCCUUGGGCAGCGGGGCAAGCAGCAGGCAAUUGCUGGAAGCCCCGGGCAGAAAUAUCACUGCCUAGAAGAGUCACGAUCCUGGCUUUGUGAAAUGCUGUUUCCAGCUUUCUCCAGCACCCCCAUGUCCUGUAAAAGGCAGUGAGUGGAUCUAGCCCCUGUUGGAGAGCUUCUAGGACACUCCUAGUGUCACGAGAUUGCCUUCAAAAUGCAGAUAUUCAUCACUUCACAGAGACACACAGCAACUAACUCACGGCCAUUUUGGAGGUGACAACGGGAGAUU
rnacentral:lncRNA from 1 species